GUUACAGGGAACGAGGCUUCCAUUGCCCAAGGCGCGUCAGUUUCAAGGAGGCUCUCCUUGAAACUGAUGCGCCUCGGGCAAUGGGAGCCUCGUUCCCUGUAAC
rnacentral:pre_miRNA from 1 species